rnacentral:rRNA from 1 species
CCUACGGGGGGCAGCAGUGAGGAAUAUUGGUCAAUGGACGAGAGUCUGAACCAGCCACGUAGCGUGAAGGAUGACUGCCCUAUGGGUUGUAAACUUCUUUUAUAAAGGAAUAAAACGAGGCACGUGUGCCUUUUUGCAUGUACUUUAUGAAUAAGGAUCGGCUAACUCCGUGCCAGCAGCCGCGGUAAUACGGAGGAUCCGAGCGUUAUCCGGAUUUAUUGGGUUUAAAGGGAGCGUAGAUGGGUUGUUAAGUCAGUUGUGAAAGUUUGCGGCUCAACCGUAAAAUUGCAAUUGAUACUGGCAGUCUAGAGUACAGUUGAGGUAGGCGGAAUUCGUGGUGUAGCGGUGAAAUGCUUAGAUAUCACGAAGAACCCCGAUUGCGAAGGCAGCUUACUAAACUGUGACUGACAUUGAUGCUCGAAAGUGUGGGUAUCAAACAGGAUUAGAUACCCGGGUAGUC